rnacentral:rRNA from 1 species
CGUGGGUGAUCUGCCCUGCACUUUGGGAUAGCCUGGGAAACUGGGUCUAAUACCGAAUAGGACCGCAUGCUUCAUGGUGUGUGGUGGAAAGCUUUUGCGGUGUGGGAUGGGCCCGCGGCCUAUCAGCUUGUUGGUGAGGUAAUGGCUUACCAAGGCGACGACGGGUAGCCGGCCUGAGAGGGUGACCGGCCACACUGGGACUGAGAUACGGCCCAGACUCCUACGGGAGGCAGCAGUGGGGAAUAUUGCACAAUGGGCGCAAGCCUGAUGCAGCGACGCCGCGUGAGGGAUGACGGCCUUCGGGUUGUAAACCUCUUUCGCCAGGGACGAAGCGCAAGUGACGGUACCUGGAGAAGAAGGACCGGCCAACUACGUGCCAGC